UACGCAGGGGGCAAGCGUUAUCCGGAUUUACUGGGUGUAAAGGGAGCGUAGACGGCAAUGCAAGUCUGGAGUGAAAGGCGGGGGCCCAACCCCCGGACUGCUCUGGAAACUGUAUAGCUGGAGUGCAGGAGAGGUAAGUGGAAUUCCUAGUGUAGCGGUGAAAUGCGUAGAUAUUAGGAGGAACACCAGUGGCGAAGGCGGCUUACUGGACUGUAACUGACGUUGAGGCUCGAAAGCGUGGGGAGCAAACAGG
rnacentral:rRNA from 1 species